AAUUAAAACAGAUCUAUUAAAUGAUAUUCAAUAUUAAAUUUGAUAAGAAUAAGGAUAUAAAUUUAAUCGAAAAAAAAAUUCACAAGCGGGAUGCAAAAAAAAAAGAAUACUAGGACGGUUUUUUUUCUGACAGGGGGAGGAGGAUGAGCCAGUUAGUUGUUAUCAAUUUCAAAACACUUUAAUUACAAAUGGCAAAAAUUAUUUUAUUUAUUUCUUCAAGAGAAACUAAAAAUUAAAAGUUAAUUUAAGCGAUAAAAUUGAAAAACAAUUUUAAAAAAGUACAAAAUUGUGAAAAAAAAAUGAAAGUAAUGUUAAUUAAUUGAAUUUAAUUUAUUAUUAAACAACUUUUAUGUAAAAUAUAUUUAAUUAUUUGUAAUUAAAAUACUUUGAUUUGAGCUCUAAUAAAAAUCUUUUUUUUUUUAAAAAAACGCGAAUUUAAAAAUUAAAAAACAAGUAAAAAGAAAGCUAAUGAAGCUAAUAUUGAGCAACAUUUAAAAAAAAAACGAACAGGAAAGUACAUUUGCAUACAGAGGAGUCGGUUUAAAACACGUCUUCAAUAAUUAUCACAAUACGCAAAACAAAAUGCAUAGGUUCGAGCAAUGAAUAAAUACAAGAGAGCUAUACACGACAAAGUAAUUAUAAAUAAGACAUCGAUUUUCUCUAAUUAUAAUAUAUAUAUCUCUAUAUUACGAUUAUUAAUUCGAUGUUGAUUAAAAAUUAGAAAUAUAUCCUUUUUCUUUCAAUAUUAAAUAUUUUUUCUCCGGUCUUUCCGUCCGUUAAUAAUGCAUUAACAGCGAGAUCGUGUUAUUUAGAAAAAAAAUUAUUUUGGUGUUAAUAAAGUGAAGGUGUGAGAAUCGGAGAAAGACCACUUUUCACGAGAAACAAUUUCAAUGAUAAUUUUAAUCGUUUUUUUUUUUUGUUUUUUUAUUAUAGUCGGACGGAAUUCUAUCAGUCAGUUGCAGAAUUGUUUUCAGUCUUUCUUCAAAAAUUUUGAUACUUUCAUUUUGAGAUGAAAUUUUAAUUUUUGUCAGUCUUUUUUACAUAUAUUAAAAAAUUAUUGGUUCAAGAAGUAAUUUUUUUUUAGAGAACUUUUCAAAAUUAAAAGAGCAAAUUUUUAAAAUAUUUUUGUAUUUAAAAAAUUUUUAUGAAAAUUUAAUUAAUUAAUAAUUAAAAAUAUAGUUUCAAAAAAUAUUAAAUAUUUGGAAUAAAGAAAUUACAAUUAUUAUUUAGAUGAGGAAAAAUUCUAUAUAUUUACAAUAGAAAAUUAUUUGACAUAAACUGUGAAAAAGAGGAAAAGUUUUUUGAUAAUAGUCAACAUUUUUGUUGGGAUUAAAAUUUAGUAAAAAUUUCUAUCAAAUUGUGUUCGAUAGAAAAAAAAAUUAGUGCAAAGUUAAAUUUUUUAUUUCUUCUGUCACGAUACAGCAGCAAAGGGAAUGUUUCGUUUUCGGUCUUUAUCUGAUUCUUAGAUCCGCCACCUUCGACUUGUUUUUUUGUUUUUUUUUUUUUUUUUAAA